AUACGGAGGGUGCAAGCGUUAAUCGGAUUUACUGGGCGUAAAGCGUGCGUAGGCGGUUGGGUAAGUCAGAUGUGAAAGCCCCGGGCUUAACCUGGGAAUUGCAUUUGAUACUGUCCAGCUAGGGUCUGGUAGAGGGAAGUGGAAUUCCGGGUGUAGCGGUGAAAUGCGUAGAUAUCCGGAGGAACACCAGUGGCGAAGGCGACUUCCUGGACCAAGACUGACGCUGAGGUACGAAAGCGUGGGGAGCAAACAGGAUUAGAAACCCCUGUAGUCC
rnacentral:rRNA from 1 species